rnacentral:rRNA from 1 species
UUUGCAGAGGAUGCUUCGGGUGCGGUCCCCGUCUAAGUGCCCUGGAACGGGCCGUCAUAGAGGGUGAGAAUCCCGUCUGGGAUGGGCGGCCGCGCCCGUGUGAAGCUCCUUCGACGAGUCGAGUUGUUUGGGAAUGCAGCUCUAAGCGGGUGGUAAAUUUCAUCUAAAGCUAAAUACUGGCCGGAGACCGAUAGCGCACAAGUAGAGUGAUCGAAAGAUGAAAAGCACUUUGAAAAGAGAGUUAAACAGCACGUGAAAUUGUUGAAAGGGAAGCGUUGUCCACCAGACUCGCCCGGGGGGGUUCAGCCGGCACGUGUGCCGGUGUACUCCUCUCCGGGCGGGCCAGCAUCGGUUUGGGCGGUUGGUGAAAGGCCCCGGGAAUGUAACACCCUCCGGGGUGCCUUAUA